GGUAAAGUCUGAGCAUGGAAAUCAUGAUGAAGCUCAACAUUCCCGGGUCAAUGCUGAGCAAUUUCAGUUCUCUGACAUGGAUCAGUUUCAGCCAAAUUCUAUUGAAGACCAUUCUAAAGUAUUUCAGGGUCAAUGGUAUUCCAAGUCGCAAGAUGGGAGUCAAAUACCGGGUAGCUUCUCAGAUAAGCAAAAUGUGCAAGAGGAGUUGUAUCUGAGAACUUCCAGGAAAGAGGAAGCUUAUCCAAAUAAUUUAUGCACUGAGAGAUCACCGAUCGGUCAACCUGUUGGUAAUGGAGCAGUUGCCACCAAUAACGCAAGCAGCUCCAUCUGCAGAUUUAAUCACCUUCCUCGUGAACGACAGUAUUUCAAUCAGCAGAAGUGGCUAUUGUUUUUGACUCAUGCACGUGGAUGUUCUGCUCCUGAAGGGAAAUGUGCAGAGAAGAAUUG
rnacentral:misc_RNA from 1 species